CUCCUUUUAUUCAAAAUAUUGAUACGUAACAAAAUGUCAGUAGAUUUGAUACCUCAUGCUGACUUUAUCAACAAAAUUAUUUGACUGCAUCGACCAAAAACUGACCUGCAUAUGUGCACUUUAAUUUAAAAAUCUAUAUAUGUCCGCAUAGUAAAUCAGCCAUAUUUUUGAUGUCUGGAUUCAAUGUAUAAAAUAAAUGACUGCUGUUGGGAUGGCGCCUAAUUAUGUCUUCUCCUGGCACUCCUGUGAACAUGUUAGUAGGACGGCAAAUGUAAGCAAUAAGGAAAACAAUUAAUGCAAUUUUUUUCCCGCAUACAUUGAGAAUGUCAGCGUUUCAUCUCUGUAUUCAUAAUAUUGAACAGUCACUAGGGUGUGUAAAACGAAUCUAUUAGGCCGCAUCAUCCAAGUACAUGU
rnacentral:lncRNA from 1 species